rnacentral:lncRNA from 1 species
ACAAGUUGCAAAUAACCUGAAAAAUUUCAAUGAGACACUAGUUGAAGGCCAAAAUACUCAGUGUUCCAAAACUUUGAUCUUGUUGAGACAAGAAUUCAUGCCAUCAGAAUCGGCAGUAGAGAAUCGAUCACCAACCAUGAGUUUGUACUGUUCAAAGUCUCGGCCUCUCGGCCAAGUCUUCUAAGGUCUCGGCCUCUCGGUCGUCUCGGCCAACUCUUGUAAGGUCUCGGCCAUACCGGUACACUUGCCCCCCAGGCUCAAGGGCAGAUGGCAUGAAUUCUUGUCUCAACAAGAUCAAAGUUUUGGAACACUGAGUAUUUUGGCCUUCAACUAGUGUCUCAUUGAAAUUUUUCAGGUUAUUUGCAACUUGUUUGCGUUCAAUCACAAGUUGCCUCAGAAUUCU